GACGAACGCUGGCGGCGUGCCUAAUACAUGCAAGUAGAACGCUGAAGGAGGAGCUUGCUCUUCUGGAUGAGUUGCGAACGGGUGAGUAACGCGUAGGUAACCUGCCUGGUAGCGGGGGAUAACUAUUGGAAACGAUAGCUAAUACCGCAUAACAGUAGAUGUUGCAUGACAUUUGCUUAAAAGGUGCAAUUGCACCACUACCAGAUGGACCUGCGUUGUAUUAGCUAGUUGGUGGGGUAACGGCUCACCAAGGCGACGAUACAUAGCCGACCUGGGAGGGUGAUCGGCCACACUGGGACUGAGACACGGCCCAGACUCCUACGGGAGGCAGCAGUAGGGAAUCUUCGGCAAUGGACGGAAGGCUGACCGAGCAACGCCGCGUGAGGGAAGAAGGUUGUCGGAUCGUAAAGCUCUGUUGUAAGAGAAGAACGAGUGUGAGAGUGGAAAGUUCACACUGUGACGGUAUCUUACCAGAAAGGGACGGCUAACUACGUG
rnacentral:rRNA from 1 species